CCGGUGCUUGCACCGGGGAUUAGUGGCGAACGGGUGAGUAACACGUGAGUAACCUGCCCUUAACUCUGGGAUAAGCCUGGGAAACUGGGUCUAAUACCGGAUAUGACUCCUCAUCGCAUGGUGGGGGGUGGAAAGCUUUUUUGUGGUUUUGGAUGGACUCGCGGCCUAUCAGCUUGUUGGUGAGGUAAUGGCUCACCAAGGCGACGACGGGUAGCCGGCCUGAGAGGGUGACCGGCCACACUGGGACUGAGACACGGCCCAGACUCCUACGGGAGGCAGCAGUGGGGAAUAUUGCACAAUGGGCGCAAGCCUGAUGCAGCGACGCCGCGUGAGGGAUGACGGCCUUCGGGUUGUAAACCUCUUUCAGUAGGGAAGAAGCGAAAGUGACGGUACCUGCAGAAGAAGCGCCGGCUAACUACGUGCCAGCAGCCGCGGUAAUACGUAGGGCGCAAGCGUUAUCCGGAAUUAUUGGGCGUAAAGAGCUCGUAGGCGGUUUGUCGCGUCUGCCGUGAAAGUCCGGGGCUCAACUCCGGAUCUGCGGUGGGUACGGGCAGACUAGAGUGAUGUAGGGGAGACUGGAAUUCCUGGUGUAGCGGUGAAAUGCGCAGAUAUCAGGAGGAACACCGAUGGCGAAGGCAGGUCUCUGGGCAUUAACUGACGCUGAGGAGCGAAAGCAUGGGGAGCGAACAGGAUUAGAUACCCUGGUAGUCCAUGCCGUAAACGUUGGGCACUAGGUGUGGGGGACAUUCCACGUUUUCCGCGCCGUAGCUAACGCAUUAAGUGCCCCGCCUGGGGAGUACGGCCGCAAGGCUAAAACUCAAGGAAUUGACGGGGGCCCGCACAAGCGGCG
rnacentral:rRNA from 1 species